rnacentral:rRNA from 1 species
CCUACGGGAGGCAGCAGUGGGGAAGAGUGCACAAUGGGGGAAACCCUGAUGCAGCGACGCCGCGUGAGUGAAGAAGUAGUGCGGUAGGUAAAGCUCUAGCAGCAGGGAAGAAAAUGACGGUACCUGAUUAAGAAGCCCCGGCUAACGACGUGCCAGCAGCCGCGGUAAUACGUAGGGGGCAAGCGUUAUCCGGAUUUACUGGGGGUAAAGGGAGCGUAGACGGCAGCACAAGUCUGGAGUUAAAUGCCGGGGCUUAACCCCGGAACUGCUUUGGAAACGGUGCAGCUAGAGUGCAGGAGAGGUAAGUGCACUUCCUCUUGUAGCGGUGCACUUCUUAGCUCUUAGGCGGCACCCCAGUGGC